rnacentral:lncRNA from 1 species
CGGGCUUUUAGUGCACAUUAAUCAUAAGCUAUGCUUUGGCAAUUUUGAGGGGUACGAUGGCCCAGUGAUCUCGUAAACGGGAGGUCUAAGUGUGCUAGCGUCUUUUGUAGCCGUUAUCAAAAGCAGUCAUGAAGUUGCUCAUCUUAGCACUGGUGGUGAUGAUGGUGGUGUGUGUCCUUGCUGAUUCAAGCGAAAACUCUGAACCUGAAAGCGAUGAAUCGGGAGACAGGCACACCGAAGUGGAACUGCAGCCUGGUUGUACUAAUGGUUGCAUGGAGGAUGAUGGGGAAAAAGCAUCGACGGAGUAAUUGGUAACGUCUAGUGGAACUUGUGAAACAACACACCAUCAUCGUACAAUCAACGUCACUCUCAUUUCAUCCAUGACAACGGAAGCUCAUCGAAACUGUGACAGCCGCCAACCUCC